rnacentral:rRNA from 1 species
GACGAACGCUGGCGGCAGGCUUACACAUGCAAGUCGCACGAGAACGUUCUGGCUUCGGCCGGGACAAUUACAUUGGCGGACGGGUGCUUAUCCCUUAAAUAACCUGCCCUCAGGCGCGGGACAAUCACGGGAAACCGUGGCUAAUACCCCACGUCUUCUGGUCCCCCCAUGGAGACCAAAUAAAACCCUUCGGGCCCCUUUGGAUGGGUCUGCGUUGAAUUACCUUGUUGGUAAAUUACAACCUCACCAAGGCAACAAUCCAUACCUGGUCUAAAAGGACAAUCACCCACACUGGAACUGAAACACGGCCCAAACUCCUACGGAAGGCACCAUUGGGGAAUCUUGCACAAUGGGGUCACCCCUGAUGCACCCAUGCCCCGUGAAGAAAAACACCCCUAUGGGGCGUAAACUCCUUUUCUGAACAAAAAAACCCCUGUAUGUUCAGGGCGCGACGGUAUUUCAGGAAUAACCACCGGCUAACUCCUUGCCACCACCCCCGGUAAUACGAAGGGUGCAACCGUUGUCCGGAAUCACUGGGUGUAAAGGGUGUGCAGGCGGGGCAACAAUUCGAAUGUGAAACCCCAUGGCUCAACCAUGGAGGUGCAUUCAAAACUGUUGCUCUUGAUUCCCGGAAAGGCUGUCGGAAUUCUUGGUGUACCGGUGAAAUGCUUAAAUAUCACGAGGAACACCAAAGGCGAAACCGGGCACCUGGACGGGUACUGACCCUCAGGCACGAAAGCGUGGGGAGCAAACAGGAUUAGAUACCCUGGUAGUCCACCCGGUAAAGGAUGAACGUUCGCCGUUGCCCCGUUCAAGGGCCAGUGGUUAAGUUAAGGCGUUAAGCGUUCCACUUGGGGAGUACGAUGGCAAGGUUGAAAUUCAAAGGAAUGGACGGGGGCCCCCACAAGCGGUGGAGCAUGUGGUUCAUUUGGAUGCAACGGGAAGACCUUUACUUAGGUUGGAACGUUAAAGGACGGUUCUUGAAAGGGAGCUUCCCUUUUGGGGCUUUUAGGGAGGUACUGCAUGGCUGUGGUCAGUUCGUGUCGUGAGAUGUUGGGUUAAGUCCGGCAACGGGGGUAACCCUUGUCGUUAGUUACCUGGGGGUAAUGCCGGGGAUUUUAGUGAGACCGCUUGGGCAAGCAGUGAGGAAGGUGGGGAGGAGGUCAAGUCUUCAUGGUCUUUACGCUUAGGGCUGCACACGUGUUCCAAUGGCCGGGACAAGGAGCAGCCCCCUCGGGGGAGGGAGGGAAUCUUUGAAACCCGGUCUCAGUUGGGAUUGGAGUUUGCAAUUGGAUUCCAUGAAGCAGGAAUGGUUAGUAAUGGGGGAUCAGCAAUGCCGGGAGGAAUCGGUUCCCGGCCUUGGUACACCCCGCCGGUCAAGCCAUGGAAGUGGGGAGCACCGGAAGUCCGUGAUUAAAUUCUAGCAUGAGUUAGAGAGAGAGCGGCCGAAGGUGAGCUCAGUGACUGGGGCU